UUCCCGCAGGAUGACCGGCGGCGGCGCG
rnacentral:sRNA from 1 species